GCUCUACUUGGUUUAUCAGUCUCGCCACACUUCUGCUUCGAAGUAGAUGCCCCGUGCGUGGACGCCGCCGCCGCAGCGAGGCGCAGCUGCGCUCCCAGGCCUUCCGGUUCCGGACCACGGAACACGCGGCGGCGUGCAGCCUGUCGACGCCCUCCGCCACUGAAACGCCCGUGCACCUUGUUGGCGGCGAAGAAACAGGGCGCCUUCUCGCAGCCGCUGGAGUCCAGGACCAGGACGUCGAAGGAGCAGCCGCUGCCGCUGCCGCCGCCGCCGCCGCGCGUGAAGACCACGAGGUCGUCCUCCUGUAGCUCGUGCGCUCUGGCGAAGUCGCCCCAUCCUGACCCGAGGAGCAGCUCGUCGGCGUCGGCGUUCCUUGCGACGUCGACGAGCCACGUCGCGCCGCUCGGCGAUUUCAGGCUCAGCGUUUCGGACCCUUUUUCUGGAAGUGCUGGCUAUCACUGCUUGGGAAAUUUGGAGACAACGAAAUUCGGCUAUCUUCAGAGAAUCUGUUCCGUCUUUCAAUUCCGGGAGGACCUGAAGCUUCAGAUGAUCAGAUUUAGCGCUGAACUUAAAAUGCUUGUCUCAUUGUGGCUUUCUUCCCUUUAAGCUCACUAUCUCUCUCUUUCUCUUCAGCCCCACCUCUUCUUUUCUUGUGCAGUUUUAUCUUAUGUUUGUACCUAUUCCUUUUUUUUCAAUAUUACUAAAAUCUAUAGCUGUGGGGGUUUCCCCUGCAGCCUUUCUUUGUUAAUUUAUUGUACAAAUUUAGUCAACUAAUCAAACCUAUGAUAUUUUGGUUUAGGAUCAU
rnacentral:misc_RNA from 1 species